rnacentral:tRNA from 1 species
AAAGACUUAGGAUAACAAGACCAAGAGCCUUCAAAGCUUUAAGUAGAAGUGAGAACCUUCUAGUCUUUG